CCUACGGGUGGCAGCAGUGGGGAAUAUUGCACAAUGGGGGAAACCCUGAUGCAGCGACGCCGCGUGAGUGAAGAAGUAUUUCGGUAUGUAAAGCUCUAUCAGCAGGGAAGAAAAUGACGGUACCUGAGUAAGAAGCCCCGGCUAACUACGUGCCAGCAGCCGCGGUAAUACGUAGGGGGCAAGCGUUAUCCGGAUUUACUGGGGGUAAAGGGAGCGUAGACGGCAGCACAAGUCUGGAGUGAAAUGCCGGGGGUUAACCCCGGAACUGCUUUGGAAACUGGGCAUCUAGAGUGCAGGAGAGGUAAGUGGAAUUCGUGGUGUAGCGGUGAAAUGCGUAGAUAUUAGGAGGAACACCGGUGGCGAAGGCAGCUUACUGGACUGUAACUGACGUUGAGGCUCGAAAGCGUGGGGAGCAAACAGGAUUAGAUACCCCAGUAGUC
rnacentral:rRNA from 1 species